rnacentral:rRNA from 1 species
GAUGAACGCUGGCGGCGUGCCUAAUACAUGCAAGUCGAGCGAACGGACGAGGAGCUUGCUGCUCUGACGUUAGCGGCGGACGGGUGAGUAACACGUGGAUAACCUCCCUAUAUGACUGGGAUAACUUCGAGAAACCGGAGCUAAUACCGGAUAAUAUCCUGAACCGCAUGGUUCAAUAGUGAAAGACGGUGUUGCUGUCACUUAUCGAUGGAUCCGCGCUGCAUUAGCUAGUUGGUAAGGUAACGGCUUACCAAGGCAACGAUGCAUAGCCGACCUGAGAGGGUGAUCGCCCACCCGGGAACUUAGACACGGUCCAGACUCCUACGGGAGGCAGCAGUAGGGAAUCUUCCGCAAUGGGCGAAAGCCUGACGGAGCAACGCCGCGUGAGUGAUGAAGGUCUUCGGAUCGGAAAACUCUGUUAUUAGGGAAGAACAUAUGUGUAAGUAACUGUGCACAUCUUGACGGUACCUAAUCAGAAAGCCACGGCUAACUACGUG